GGCUUUUACCCAUCUUGGCCACGCGUCAGUCGUCGUCCUACCAGCUUGCACCUUCUCGACUUUUCCUUGGUUUCCAUUUCUCUCUCUCAAAUCUGGGCUUCAGUCUACAUUCAACUCGCUCUCCAUCUUCAUAGAAAACCUGAUUCCUCGACGCUUUCUCAAAACGUGCAAGUUUGGUUUCGACCAUUCUAUCCCAAUCUCACAAUCUUUGGCACAAAACCUUGAAAAUAUUGGCCUCUGUUUCCGUCUCCAUCCCCUGACUUGGGAACGGUCUCUAAGAGCUUUCUGCGUCCAUCCUUCCGAAGCUGAGAAUAUGUGAUCUUAGGUUCGGCUUUCACCGUCUCGCUCCCUCAGCCUCCACACUCUCCGACUCCGGUUCCAGUUAAUUCGGUUCCAAAAUGCGUAUUAAAAGGUGGGUCAUCUCUGUUUAUGCCAAUUUUCAUGACCCAUAAAGCAUUAACCGAAUUGGGUUUUGUUUGUUUGGUAACAUGGAUUGCUCAGGUUAGGUUGGAGAGAAUGGAGGUAGAAAUACAAUUGGGAAAGAUAAAGAAAUUUUUUAUGUUUGAAGGUAGAAAGUUUUUUUAUUUUUCGUGGAAUUGAUGUUCUGUUUUUUAAUGAGUUUAUUAUGGUUUGCUUGGACAAGUACACGAGUGUUUGGGAUUGAAAAGUUGAGAGAGGCCACAGAUGGGUUCAGAGAAAAUAGCUUGAUUGAAGGGUGUGUGUAUAAAGGUUUCAUUAAUGGAGAUUUCUUUGCCAUCCAGAAGAUGAAGUGGACCGCGUGUGAGGAGCUCAAGAUCCUACAAAAUCGAGACAGAACGAGUAAAGCCAUCAGAUGUGAUCCUAGGUACCAGAGGCAGAGGCUUCAUUCAAAGUGUACUACAAGGAAGUGUGAGCGACUAUUGCAUAUGCAACUAUAAAUCAGCUCUGGUUGUAAUUGUUCCAGGGAAUGGUAUAAUAUUCCAUCUUAUACGUGAAUGGAACCAGCUUAAGGUCGAAGUAAGCAUGUUUGAUGGCUCCGUUUGACAAAUAUGCCUACUAACUGUUUGAUAAAAUGACUGUUACUAUGGUCCUUAAAAUGAUUGUUAAGCAUAUAGUUUUCAGUGAUCGACAAUCCCUAUAUAUGCAUUGCAUUUGUAUACCAUUUUCACUUGGUUGGAGGUCUUGAAAGACUCCAUUUAAUGAAUCCAAAAUGUGUAAUUCCUUUGGGGAGCGUUUGAUAAUCAUUUGGUUUUCAUUUUUCAGUUUUUGCUUAGAUUUAUUUCUGGACAUGUCCAAUAAGUUUACUUUAGUAUAUAGAGAUCUAUAUAUUACAAUUUAGUAUAAAUUUAUGUAUUAUCUUCUUCUUAGGUUCUUCAAGCGUUUAACUUUUUGGAAUAUCAUUUUUGGAAAAUGCUGGAGUAGUAUAUUUUAUAGUGUGGCCUAACUUGUUUUGAUCCAAGUUUCCAUUUACGUUCAAUGUUCGAUUCUCUUCAGUACAACGAAAAAAAUUUGAAAAGAAACCAACAUAGAAAGUGGUAUGACCCAUCAUUAUUUGCUACUUUGCUUACAGUGGUAAACCAGCUCAAGUUCUUUAACCUGGGUUUUACAGUUUUACUCUAAUGUUAAU